rnacentral:rRNA from 1 species
GGAUUAGAUACCCGGGUAGUCCACGCCGUAAACGAUGAGUGCUAGGUGUUAGGGGGGAGCACCCCUUAGUGCUGAAGUCAACACAUUAAGCACUCCGCCUGGGGAGUACGACCGCAAGGUUGAAACUCAAAGGAAUUGACGGGGGCCCGCACAAGCAGUGGAGCAUGUGGUUUAAUUCGAAGCAACGCGAAGAACCUUACCAGGUCUUGACAUCCCUCUGACGGGUUCAGAGAUGGGCCGUUCCUUCGGGACAGAGGAGACAGGUGGUGCAUGGUUGUCGUCAGCUCGUGUCGUGAGAUGUUGGGUUAAGUCCCGCAACGAGCGCAACCCUUGACCUUUGUUGCCAGCAUUAAGUUGGGCACUCAGAGGUGACUGCCGGUGACAAACCGG